rnacentral:rRNA from 1 species
AUUGAACGCUGGCGGCAUGCCUUACACAUGCAAGUCGAACGGCAGCACGGGAGCAAUCCUGGUGGCGAGUGGCGAACGGGUGAGUAAUAUAUCGGAACGUGCCCAGUCGUGGGGGAUAACGCAGCGAAAGCUGUGCUUAUACCGCAUACGAUCUAAGGAUGAAAGCGGGGGAUCGCAAGACCUCGCGCGAUUGGAGCGGCCGAUAUCAGAUUAGCUAGUUGGUGGGGGAAAGGCCCACCAAGGCGACGAUCUGUAGCUGGUCUGAGAGGACGACCAGCCACACUGGAACUGAGACACGGUCCAGACUCCGACGGGAGGCAGCAGUGGGGAAUUUUGGACAAUGGGCGCAAGCCUGAUCCAGCAAUGCCGCGUGCAGGAUGAAGGCCUUCGGGUUGUAAACUGCUUUUGUACGGAACGAAACGGCCCUUUCUAAUACAGGGGGCUAAUGACGGUACCGUAAGAAUAAGCACCGGCUAACUACGUGCCAGCCGCCGCAGUAAUAC